rnacentral:rRNA from 1 species
GCCUACGGGAGGCAGCAGUCGAGAAUCAUUCACAAUGGGGGAAACCCUGAUGGUGCAACGCCGCGUGGGGGAAUGAAGGUCUUCGGAUUGUAAACCCCUGUCAUGUGGGAGCAAAUUAAAAAGAUAGUACCACAAGAGGAAGAGACGGCUAACUCUGUGCCAGCAGCCGCGGUAAUACAGAGGUCUCAAGCGUUGUUCGGAAUCACUGGGCGUAAAGCGUGCGUAGGCUGUUUCGUAAGUCGUGUGUGAAAGGCGCGGGCUCAACCCGCGGACGGCACAUGAUACUGCGAGACUAGAGUAAUGGG